GGAACGGUGGCCGAGUGGCUUAAGGCAACGGUUUGCUAAACCGUCAUACGGUUGGAAACUCCGUAUCGAGGGUUCGAAUCCCUCCCGUUCCGCCA
rnacentral:tRNA from 1 species